GACGAACGCUGGCGGCGUGCUUAACACAUGCAAGUCGAACGGGCCUGCCUGGCUUUGGUUGGGUGGGUGAGUGGCGAACGGGUGAGUAACACGUGAGUAACCUGCCCUCUUCUCUUGGAUAACUGCUUGAAAGGGCGGCUAAUACGGGAUGUUCUGGCUGCCUCGCAUGGGGUGGUUUGGAAAGAUUCGGCCUGGUUUUGGUUGUUUUGGUGGGGGAUGGGCUCGCGGCUUAUCAGCUUGUUGGUGGGGUGAUGGCCUACCAAGGCGGUGACGGGUAGCCGGCCUGAGAGGGUGGACGGUCACACUGGGACUGAGACACGGCCCAGACUCCUGCGGGAGGCAGCAGUGGGGGAUUUUGCACAAUGGGCGCAAGCCUGAUGCAGCGACGCCGCGUGAGGGAUGGAGGCCUUCGGGUUGUGAACCUCUGUCGCCGGUGAUGUAGGCUCUGCUUUGUGGGUGGGGUUGACGUAGCCGGGGAUAA
rnacentral:rRNA from 1 species